rnacentral:rRNA from 1 species
AGAGUUUGAUCAUGGCUCAGAUUGAACGCUGGCGGCAGGCCCAACACAUGCAAGUCGAGCGGUAGAGAGAAGCUUGCUUCUCUUGAGAGCGGCGGACGGGUGAGUAAUGCCUAGGAAUCUGCCUGGUAGUGGGGGAUAACGUUCGGAAACGGACGCUAAUACCGCAUACGUCCUACGGGAGAAAGCAGGGGACCUUCGGGCCUUGCGCUAUCAGAUGAGCCUAGGUCGGAUUAGCUAGUUGGUGGGGUAAUGGCUCACCAAGGCGACGAUCCGUAACUGGUCUGAGAGGAUGAUCAGUCACACUGGAACUGAGACACGGUCCAGACUCCUACGGGAGGCAGCAGUGGGGAAUAUUGGACAAUGGGCGAAAGCCUGAUCCAGCCAUGCCGCGUGUGUGAAGAAGGUCUUCGGAUUGUAAAGCACUUUAAGUUGGGAGGAAGGGUUGUAGAUUAAUACUCUGCAAUUUUGACGUUACCGACAGAAUAAGCACCGGCUAACUCUGUGCCAGCAGCCGCGGUAAUACAGAGGGUGCAAGCGUUAAUCGGAAUUACUGGGCGUAAAGCGCGCGUAGGUGGUUAGUUAAGUUGGAUGUGAAAUCCCCGGGCUCAACCUGGGAACUGCAUUCAAAACUGACUGACUAGAGUAUGGUAGAGGGUGGUGGAAUUUCCUGUGUAGCGGUGAAAUGCGUAGAUAUAGGAAGGAACACCAGUGGCGAAGGCGACCACCUGGACUGAUACUGACACUGAGGUGCGAAAGCGUGGGGAGCGAACAGGAUUAGAUACCCUGGUAGUCCACGCCGUAAACGAUGUCAACUAGCCGUUGGGAGCCUUGAGCUCUUAGUGGCGCAGCUAACGCAUUAAGUUGACCGCCUGGGGAGUACGGCCGCAAGGUUAAAACUCAAAUGAAUUGACGGGGGCCCGCACAAGCGGUGGAGCAUGUGGUUUAAUUCGAAGCAACGCGAAGAACCUUACCAGGCCUUGACAUCCAAUGAACCUUCUAGAGAUAGAUGGGUGCCUUCGGGAACAUUGAGACAGGUGCUGCAUGGCUGUCGUCAGCUCGUGUCGUGAGAUGUUGGGUUAAGUCCCGUAACGAGCGCAACCCUUGUCCUUAGUUACCAGCACGUUAUGGUGGGCACUCUAAGGAGACUGCCGGUGACAAACCGGAGGAAGGUGGGGAUGACGUCAAGUCAUCAUGGCCCUUACGGCCUGGGCUACACACGUGCUACAAUGGUCGGUACAGAGGGUUGCCAAGCCGCGAGGUGGAGCUAAUCCCAUAAAACCGAUCGUAGUCCGGAUCGCAGUCUGCAACUCGACUGCGUGAAGUCGGAAUCGCUAGUAAUCGCGAAUCAGAAUGUCGCGGUGAAUACGUUCCCGGGCCUUGUACACACCGCCCGUC